rnacentral:other from 1 species
AGUUUCCUGGUGUGUUUGCGAGUUGGAUAAGUCCUCGAGCCGAUAAGCGUUUUACCGGUGGCGACUCAGGGUAAUGUGUGCAAGUCCCCUUAUCUCUUCUAGAGGUUCUAUAUCUCUUGUAAGGAUAACAGGGGAAAGCCUAAUUUAUCACAGCUGCUACCACCUUGAACCAUAGGGUUCAAGGCCAUAUUCGACAGCGGCACACUGGGAAAUUU